rnacentral:lncRNA from 1 species
GAGAAUCUGGUUUCUCAUGCCUACGUAUUCUCAUUGUGCAAUGAGAAAAUCAGAGCUUUCGUAGUUCAUCCCACUAGGGCUGACAACAAGAUGAUUGAGGCAAAAUAAGUGAUUGAUUGAUAAUGGAAUACGAAGAAGGCUUGGCAGUCAUUGGAUAUGAACCACACUAAAGUCUAUGAGUAAAGGUGAAUAUGAUGAGAAACUGGGUUAUGCGUCC